rnacentral:rRNA from 1 species
CAGUCGCCGCGGUAAUACGUAGGGUGCAAGCGUUAAUCGGAAUUACUGGGCGUAAAGCGUGCGCAGGCGGUUAUAUAAGACAGAUGUGAAAUCCCCGGGCUCAACCUGGGAACUGCAUUUGUGACUGUAUAGCUAGAGUACGGCAGAGGGGGAUGGAAUUCCGCGUGUAGCAGUGAAAUGCGUAGAUAUGCGGAGGAACACCGAUGGCGAAGGCAAUCCCCUGGGCCUGUACUGACGCUCAUGCACGAAAGCGUGGGGAGCAAACAGGAUUAGAUACACCUGUAGUCCCUGUCUCUUAUAC